rnacentral:rRNA from 1 species
CAAGGUUGACCUCGGAUCAGGUAGGGAUACCCGCUGAACUUAAGCAUAUCAA